ACGGGAGGCAGCAGUGGGGAAUAUUGCACAAUGGGGGAAACCCUGAUGCAGCAACGCCGCGUGAGUGAUGAAGUAUUUCGGUAUGUAAAACUCUAUCAGCAGGGAAGAAGAUGACGGUACCUGACUAAGAAGCACCGGCUAAAUACGUGCCAGCAGCCGCGGUAAUACGUAUGGUGCAAGCGUUAUCCGGAUUUACUGGGUGUAAAGGGAGCGCAGGCGGUCCUGCAAGCCAGAGGUGAAAACCCGGGGCUCAACCCCGUGAUUGCCUUUGGAACUGUAGGACUUGAGUACUGGAGGGGCAGGCGGAAUUCCUGGUGUAGCGGUGAAAUGCGUAGAUAUCAGGAGGAACACCGGUGGCGAAGGCGGCCUGCUGGACAGAAACUGACGCUGAGGCUCGAAAGCGUGGGGAGCAAACAGGAUUAGAUACCCUGGUA
rnacentral:rRNA from 2 species